CGGGGGCUAGGUUAAAAAUAAACUUUGGGUUUCCAAAACCUAGGAUGAGAAGGUUUUCUCGCCUUCGG
rnacentral:tRNA from 1 species